AACGCACAUAAUAUAAUAUAUUAAACACGGAGAAAAAAAAAAUUCGAAAACACACGGGUCACACUAUGUACAUGUAAUAAUAACAUAAACAACACAAUGGUGCUGCAGAGGUCUGCCCCGUCGCUGCAGUUUCUGCUGCACCAAUACGCACGUAAUGAUAAACAAACGCAAAAAAACGCACGCGACCUCAGAUUACUAAAGAAAUAAUCACCGGUCGAAACCAUUCCGGCGGAAGGCAAUUGGACGAAAAAAAAAACGAGCGUAAAAAACGUCAAACGCGAUAAUGCGUUUCGUGCACAGCGUUACACACACGUGGGGCAAAUACUGCGCGUAACUGUCGCCACCGAUGUCGUAGCAACACACAAACAUACGCACACAAACCGUCACGUGAAACGUGAACUAAGGUUUUUAAACGCGUACGAUUGAAAUUUUUUUGUUUUCACCCAAAUCGUUUACCUCACGGCAAAUAACGAUACGGACGAAUAAAAAAAUAUAAAUCGUACGCACCACCACCGACGAGACAAGUGACGUCGUGUGAGCGUAUGAAUUCGCGAACGAUUAUUACUGUGAUCGAUACUGCGACACGGCGGAGUUCCGGCAGUGCCCGCGCCGCAUACGACGCGUUCACGACACACGCACACGUCUGUCGUUUUUUACUAAUGUCCCUCCGGCCUUACAACUCGUGCUUAAGACUUGGAAACACGUGUCAAGAUUACAAAGGGCUGCGUUUCCACCGGAUGUGCAAGGUUUCUACUAAAGAUUUUUUUAGUUCUCAUCGAAAGUUUUCAUCAUCGGUCACCAGUGCGCAAAAUAUUAAUACAAUGUUAUAAUAAUUAUUUAAGACAGACAUAGUCGUUACUAUAAUAUUAUGAUUCGAAUUUAACGAAUCUGUUCCGUUUAGCGAUUUUAUUAGCCUGCACAACGUUACUGACUACAGUGCCCAGAACGAUUAGCAACAGUUAGUAAUGCGUCGGUUGAAUUACGCGUCAUAAAAAUAUUACGAAACCUAUUUCCUUUGUCGAGGAUAUACCUGUCACGCGAGGAUUAAUCAUAUUCGUAGACCUACCAGUUAUAGAAAAUACACAAAAACCAAUACAACGCGGAAAAUAAUUUGAGCUCAGGUGGCUAUGAAAAAAUACAUUUUGAAAUAUUUUAUCCAAUAAACAUUUAAUAAAAUUUGUUAUUUUCUAAUAUAAUAAAACUAAUUUUUUUUUUAAUUUGUAUAAUACGUAACUAUUAUAUUAUAAUAUCUAUUAUAAUAUAUUUGUUACAGUUUAUUGAAUUAUGUUAAAAGUUUUAAAUAUAAAUUGUAAAAUAAUCAAAUACAUUAUAUUUAAAACAA